CCUACGGGAGGCUGCAGUGGGGAAUAUUGCACAAUGGGGGAAACCCUGAUGCAGCGACGCCGCGUGAGUGAAGAAGUAAUUCGUUAUGUAAAGUUCUAUCAGCAGGGAAGAAAAUGACGGUACCUGAGGAAGAAGCCCCGGCUAACGACGUGCCAGCAGCCGCGGUAAUACGUAGGGGGCAAGCGUUAGCCGGAUUUAAUGGGUGGAAAGGGAGCGUAGACGGGAGUGCAAGUCUGGAGUGAAAGGCGGGGGCUCAACCCCCGGACUGCUCUGGAAACUGUACGGCUGGAGUGCAGGAGAGGUAAGUGGAAUUCCUAGUGUAGCGGUGAAAUGCGUAGAUAUUAGGAGGAACACCAGUGGCGAAGGCGGCUAACUGGACUGUAACUGACGUUGAGGCUCGAAAGCGUGGGGAGCAAACAGGAUUAGAUACCCCAGUAGUC
rnacentral:rRNA from 1 species